GAGCACGUAGGUGGGUUUGUAAGUCAGAUGUGAAAGCCUUCUGUUCAACGGAAGAAUCGCAUCUGAAACUGCGAGUCUUGAGUGUAGGAGGGGAGAAUGGAACUUCUGGUGGAGCGGUGAAAUGCGUAGAUAUCAGAAGGAACUCCGGCGGCGAAAGCGAUUCUCUGGCCUAUUACUGACACUCAGUGUGCGAAAGCUAGGGGAGCAAACGGGAUUAGAUACCCCGGUAGUCCUAGCCGUAAACGAUGGGCACUAAGUAGAGGGGUUUU
rnacentral:rRNA from 1 species